AGCGCGCGCACGGACCGUCCGCUUCGUUUGGCUGCGAUCAGCGCCACCUGGGAGCGGCGCGGGGAGUUGCCGAGGAGUAAACAGAGCCCGGAGCGCCGGCCGACCGGGACCGGGACCGGGACCGGGACAACUCCACUGCGGAAUCUGGGAGUCUGAUCAAUCCACCGAACAAUGUUCCCCGCAACAGUGUCUCCAAAAGAUUCUUCCUAUCCCCCAAAUGACUUUGAAGAUGAGUAUCAAACCUGUGCCAUUUCUGCCAGUGGUUGUGCAUCCCAAGGCCCAUUGAUUUAACAGACCCAAACCGCUAAGUGGAUGGAAGUUGAAGGCCUUCCCAUUGAAGACCUUUGCAAUGAUGUUAAUGGUCUGUCAUGAAUAUUAAUGAGCAUCACCUACAUGCACCAAAGGCAAAUAGAAUAUUCUCACAUGGCAGAGUGAGAUCAAGCUUUGAGGAUGGAAACUUGUCUCAAGACGAUCCUGGACCAAGGGAGAAUACAAAAUUGUUUUGAAGGUCAAUUAGCAGAACAAAUGAACACACCUUCAAACAUUAAUUGAACGCAAGUAAAUAACCAGUAGUCUGAUGUUCAUUGCCAGGACUAUGAAAGUACAUCAGGAAGAAUGUACAGGAGCCUCAGGACUGGGUUUAGGAACAAUUAUUACCCCUCAACCAUCGGGCUCUUAAACCAAAGAGGAUAAUUUCACUCAACUUCACUUGCCGCAUCACUGAAAUGUUCCCACAACCUAUGGAUUCACUUUCAAAGACUCUUCACCUCAUGUUCACAAUAUUUAUUGCUUAUUUUGUUUUCCUUUGCACAUUGGUUCACGUCCUGUUGAUACAGUCUUUCAUUGAUUGUAUUGUGGUUAUUGGAGCUAUUCAGUAUGCCUGCAAAAAUGAAUCUUAGGGUUGUAUAUGGUGACAUAUAUGUACUUUGAUAAGAAAUUUGUUUUGAACUUUGAAGUAAUAUUCAUAACCUGAUUUCAUACAGUCCAUCUGUUUCUCAACCAGUUAAAACUAGCUUUGGUAAAGUAAAUGAGCAGUCAAAUCAAGCCACCAGUUUUAAGCAGUGGUGCAAAGCAAAGAAGCCUAAAGUGAGAAAUUAUAAAAUGAUAAUGGCCUUGAUAUGUCUUAAGUACCACUCGGUGUUAAAUCUGACUAGAUAUUCAUGCUUCUUCACUUUAUUUGGUAGAGAUUCCCUUGAUUUGCAAAGAAAGACAGGUGGUAAGUUCAAAGCCAGCUUGCUCUGCUAUGGCAAAAGCUUUCAACUUUAUUUUCUUCCACUUUCAUGUCUCCUUGAUAACUUUCUGAGUUGCUCUCCAGAUGGUGCAGAAUUCUUAUCUGUACACGGCCAGUGAAUUAUACACUAAUGCUACAUCACCAUGCAUGGAUUCUAAACCACAUUUCUGCUUUAUGGUUCUGCCAUGCUUUGCUACCUUCUAUGCUGCAACAGUCUCUAUAAAUCCCAUUUCGAGGCAUCCACCUUUUCAUUCUAUUUGAUGGUGAGCAAUUCCUGUCCUUUACUUCAUCCAUCAGUUGAUAAUUCUGGAAAUUUCUGAAUGAACUUUGAUAUCUUGUCAUAUGUCUUUUUAAAAAAAAUCUUCACAAGCCCCAGGAAUUCUGUGAUAUUGCUUUAGACAUCUCCUGUAACAAAUCCCUGUUUGCUGCUCAUCUCAGUAGCCUUAUUCACUAUACCCAUUUCUUUAAGUAGCAAUGACAUUGACUCUGCAUUAAUUUCAAAAAUGUUGUCUGUUGUAUCUCCUAUGAUUAAUUAACUUUAAGAUUAUUUAUGUUUUUCUACAAGACUUAAUAAUUCCUUGUUCAACAACUUGCUCAGAAUAACCUUUCCAUUCCAAGACCUUGACCCAGAAGAUUGGAAGUCAUAUACAAAAUGUUUCAGUACCAGUGAUCAAGAAAUAAAACCAUGAGUCCUACCGGAAGAGAGGAAGAUGAUAUGCCGGGAGAAAAUUGUUUCCUAUGUCAUAGUAUGAAGCAACAAAGCUGAAAAGCAACAGAUUAAUUUACAGUGAAUAAAACAAAAUUCCCACUUGAACCAACCUAUGUGAAAAAGAGCUGAAAUAUGAUCAAUGCAAUAUAAAUCUAUUUUAGAAUGUGACAAAAAAGAAAUAACAGUUGAACAUAGAGAACAGCUUAGAAAUUGUGAUUCCAUGUAUUUCAUAAUGUAGAAAACACCAACAUUUAUGCGAAGCAUUCGAGAAGAGAAUGAUUCAAUAACUGUAAUCCCUUCUGAAGAUCGAUGAAAAGCCAACAAAUUUAUGAAACACUGUAUACCUCAGAAAUUGAACUAUUGGGAGGUGACCUUCAGUCCUCCUUUGAUGUAAUCACUCAUGCAUUUUUAUCCCCAAGUUUUCUUUAUGCUUCCAGCAGCAUGAUCAUUAAACCCUCAGUUUUACCAGAUCAGUCAGUUCUCUAUUCAUUGUACACUCUACCCUUUGUUGCAAGUGUAACGUUGAAAUGUGUAUAUGCAAAAAGCUGUCAUACUGAAUUGAUCUGAAAAUGCCACUUCUGUUUUCGCUUAGUUUGAAGACUUUGAUGAGUAAAUUCAUAUUUACUCAUCCAUACUUACGUUUGCUUCUAUUGACUUUUGUAAGUCAAUAGAAAUGAAUGGCAACAAACAAUUGUUGAAUGAUAUCCUACAUACAUUUCAUACUGAUGCAUCUUCCCUCUUAACUUGAAGUGUUUUGGAAUCUUCAGCUGGGUACAUGUGGUGGAUAGUUUGCACACAUUCCUUCACAGCAUCCUCCAAGUGCUAACAUUAUUCCUGACCACUGGAUAAAACUAUUAGCAUCAUUCAUGAAGCUGCAUCAGAAUGACUUUUCCUUAUGCUGGAACAUUGACUUAGUGUCCUUAAGGAACCAACCUUAUGCAUGCCUGAAUCUUAUCCCAACAUGGUAACAAGCUGUUGCAUUGUGACUAUAGAACUGACCACAUGUUCUGGCAAUAAUCAAAUAUUUUCUGCCAUUAAUGUCUUGCAAGGAAAUGAAGCAACUGGCAACCAAGUUGUAACACCUAUACUUAAAUUGAAAUCAUGUGCAUUCAAUGUAAAUGCCAAUCUGUUCAUUUUCACUAAGGGUGGUGAAGGUAUACUUUAGCAUUCACCAAACAUAUCGUGCACAUAUGUGGCCAGGUCUGCAGUUCAAAGUUCUGGUUAUAUGAUUAAUUGUGAAACUUUGCCACUCUAUAGACAGUCACUAAACUUUGUCUCAUUGUGAGGAUAAUUUCCCUGUUUUGGCAUCCUUAUUGAUAUCUUAUAAUCUCCAUAUAUCCUGUGGGUAUUCUAAAUCUUCACUUCAGGAAUGAAUGGAGCAGCCUGAUCAGAAUAAACUGGUUCAGUGAUACUUGCUUCCAGUAGUCUCUUAAGCUCAUUUCCAACCUUGUUUUCCACUCACAGAUACAGGGUUGUAGCCCCACCUGAAGGAGAAUACUUGGAUUCCAACCUUAAUCAAUUCAGCUUCCAUCAUAGGUUACCCCACAGUACUUGUCAAGCACAGUUUCUUCAUGCUCUUGUUCUUUCUCAAGUUUACCUUUAUCUUUUCAAGUCAGUUCUAGCCUAUUCAAUUUGACCUCAUCCUGCAACAAUUAAAAAAGAGAGCUUCAUUUCACUUUCACUGCCUCUUACCCUAAAUAACUCUGUACAUCUGUAUCACCCAUCUUACUGCAAGUAUAAAGGAAGGUGAAAGACGCCUUGAGUCUCAUGCAUCACCUGACCAAUGUUAUUUAACUUCCAGCUCUCACAUCACUGAUUCUGAAGCACCAAUGUCAAUUGCUAUUUACAUUGUCUUUCCUUCAAUCCAGUCAAGCAUAUGGAAAGUUUCUGAUGAGUUCCAGUUUGAUGUAGUUAGUUCCUACAAUUUAUCAAGGCCACCACGUUAUUCGUCACAUCGGUAUGUUCACCACUCUACUGUUAUUCUCAUUAAGCAUUACAUGUGAUUGCUCAUUUUUGUCACAGUUUUGCUGUUCAGCAAACUGUUGACAGAUAUUCUUUCAUAUCUCAAUUAUUGCACACAGUCUGUAUGUGCCCACACGCACUGCCUGUCAGCCUUCUACUGCCACAUUGAUCGGACUUCACUUUUUCCAGAAAGUUAAACAUUGAGGCUUUGCUGGGCAAUGUUGUAAAUACCGUGUAAUCUUGGCAGUAUCCUUCAUUGCCUAGGCAAUAUCAACUAACUGCUUGAAACCACAUUUUUUUUCUUAUUGAGCAGUCUCCAUGGAGGGCACACAUCCACAAGCUGUGCACUUCCUCAACUCCCUCACUCCAGAUUUGCCCCACUCACAGUGGUCCACAGCAAUGUCCCCAACAGUUUCUCCUGGAUGUCCAUUCAGGUUUUUAAAUUCAUAUUGUUGCAUUACAGAACAGGGAUUUUGAGAUAUUAUUGAUAUUCAGUUGUCUGCAGAUGUCUUAUUUCAUGGCUUGGCUGGAGCCAAAGUUUUUAAAUCAACUUGAAUAUCCUAGUACUUAGGGAUGUGAGCAAAUUGUUUGACCCCUUUUGUUCUACAACAUUAUUUACAAGUUUCACCCUUUCUACAUACAAUCCAAGCUUUAACUGAACUAUUGGAAAAAUUCCCAAAUAACUUCUGUAUCAUGUUGACAUAAGGUUUGUCUUAAACCCAACCCAGGCUUGAUAUCUCAUGAAAGGCAAGCAUCACUUCUUUCUCUAAUCAUCUUAGAUCUUUCGUUAUUUUCUCAUUGGUUAUCUAGAUGGCAUAAUUCAACAUCAAAUAGAAGACACUGACAGUCCAACGGUUUCCACUUCAUGCUGCUGUGUGGGUGCCAUUAUCUCAUGCCAUGUUCAACCACAAGAGGGAGUUGAACAGUGGAACCAUUGCCUAUCAUUUCUUAAAAUCAUCUUCAGUGUGUUAUAGAACAACACAUGGAGGGUGUUUAAUUGGUGAGGCUCUACUCUGUGCUGUCCCCACAUUUAAGGUUAUAAAUGAGGUAAAACUGAGACCUUCAUAAUAUUUUGCAACUUUAACCAUUCGGCCCCCACUUUCACUACUUUCUGAGGAGGCUGAGAAAGUUGGAUCAUGCACAUCUAUACUCACAUCAUUCUACAGAAGUACAGUAGAGAGCAUCCUAACAAGUUGAAUUACUGCAUGGAAUGGAAACUGCAUUGCAGCAGAGAGGAAGGCUCUGCAACUGGUAGUCAAAACUGCCCAAUGCAUCACCGGCAUCAGUCGACUCACCAGCAAGGACAUAUAUAGAGAAAGAUGCCUGAAAAAGUGUCAGUAAUGUCAUGAAGGAUCCCACUCUCCCAGCUCAUUGAUGUUUCCCCACUCCUGUCGGGACUGAGGCUAUGUAGCAUCUAUGUCAGGACCACCAGACUCAAAAUCAGAUGCUUUCCCCAAGCAGCAAGACUGAUCAAUACCUCCACCCACUAACCCACCACGACCACCACUAUUUUGUCACUUCCUGUCAGUCACCUAAUGUACACUCUUGUAUCUAGCAACACUUUAUGGAUAUAAAAUCAAUCUAUCUAUAUAAGCUAUCUUAAGUAUUUAUAUUUAUUGUGCUCUUUAUCUUAUUGUGUAUUUUUUGCCCUACAGUAGAUCCAUAAUAACUAUUGUUUGAUUCUCCUUACAUU